UUAAUUGAAGAGUUUGAUCAUGGCUCAGAUUGAACGCUGGCGGCAGGCCUAACACAUGCAAGUCGAGCGGUAACAGAAAGUAGCUUGCUACUUUGCUGACGAGCGGCGGACGGGUGAGUAAUGCUUGGGAACAUGCCUUGAGGUGGGGGACAACAGUUGGAAACGACUGCUAAUACCGCAUAAUGUCUACGGACCAAAGGGGG
rnacentral:rRNA from 10 species